rnacentral:rRNA from 1 species
CUGCUCAGGAUGAACGCUAGCGGCAGGCUUAACACAUGCAAGUCGAGGGGUAUUGGUUUUCGGACCAAGAGACCGGCGCACGGGUGCGUAACGCGUAUGCAAUCUACCUUUUGCAGAGGGAUAGCCCAGAGAAAUUUGGAUUAAUACCUCAUAGUAUAGCAGUUUCGCAUGAAACCACUAUUAAAGUCACAACGGCAAAAGAUGAGCAUGCGUCCCAUUAGCUAGUUGGUAAGGUAACGGCUUACCAAGGCUACGAUGGGUAGGGGUCCUGAGAGGGAGAUCCCCCACACUGGUACUGAGACACGGACCAGACUCCUACGGGAGGCAGCAGUGAGGAAUAUUGGACAAUGGGCGCAAGCCUGAUCCAGCCAUGCCGCGUGCAGGAUGACGGUCCUAUGGAUUGUAAACUGCUUUUGUACAGGAAGAAACACUCCCUCGUGAGGGAGCUUGACGGUACUGUAAGAAUAAGGAUCGGCUAACUCCGUGCCAGCAGCCGCGGUAAUACGGAGGAUCCAAGCGUUAUCCGGAAUCAUUGGGUUUAAAGGGUCCGUAGGCGGUUUAGUAAGUCAGUGGUGAAAGCCCAUCGCUCAACGGUGGAACGGCCAUUGAUACUGCUAAACUUGAAUUAUUAGGAAGUAACUAGAAUAUGUAGUGUAGCGGUGAAAUGCUUAGAGAUUACAUGGAAUACCAAUUGCGAAGGCAGGUUACUACUAAUGGAUUGACGCUGAUGGACGAAAGCGUGGGUAGCGAACAGGAUUA